GUGAAAGUCGCUUAUUUCUGGUGCAAACAACGCAGCCACACACACACACACACACACACACAUGAUUUUUGGAAGGGGGGGCGGGUAACGUUUCAGUGUAGUCUCUUAAGCAGAUCUGAUCGUUGCUUCUGUGGUCAGAUACUAUAACUGUGAGAAGAAACCAGCAAAUAUCAAUGAAAUGGACCUGAGCGAAUUUGGCAGCACAAGCGGCAUUUGACAACUCACCAUUUUCUUGUUUGCAAGAAAUGUUUCGUUUUUCCCCAACAGUAGCAAUUUCCCGGGGACUUUAGGCGAUUGCGAUAUUUUUUUCAUCCUAAAGAUCGGCUUUUAAAAAAAAAUUAUAAUAAUAAUAAAAAACCCCCGCCGCCCCCCAAAAAACUUCUCCACCCUUUCAUGUAAAGUAUUUGAAUUUCCUGCAACUUGAAAAGAGAAGCAAGAGCAAAGGAACGUCAAGUCGGCUUUACAAGAUGAGAAGAGGCAACAACAUCUGCACUUAGUAAGGUAUUUGGAAUUAUCCCAGAUCUUGAAGAAUGGGGGCGAGUGGAGAUUUUCUGAUCUUACCGUAAAAGUGAGAUCAUCCUUUCCCCCCCUCCCUGUGGAAAAAAAAGAGAGAGAGAGAGGAGGAGGAAAAUUAUUUGCUACUGGUGUUUGCUUCACUUCUCUUAAGUAAAGAAGGCAUCUUGGGACUAAGACGAUUGUCUGUGAUUUGCUGUAGCUGUCAUUAAAUAUCUAUCAGCCACACAAAGAAAGGAGGGGGGAGUGAAAUUGGCAGCCGCGAAGGUGUUUGGCAAUCGCUUCUGAUCCAUGUUCGUAAAGCACUUGAAACACCGUUAGAGUCCAUCCCCUCUUUUCUGAUGUACAUUAUUGCAACCCAGGAAUACACAAUCAAACUCACACCGCAUCGAUUCGCCAGCGCUCGCUAAACCCAGGAUUUCACCAAUGAACUUGGACCUCCCCCACCCCCCAAAAAAGUAAUCUUCAAAGCAGAGUUUGUGAGUGAGUGUAUGUGGCGGGAGGGGGGGGGAUUUUUGCAAGCAAGUGCUGCCCAGUCUCCCCAGCGAAGGCGUCUCGGGGCACUGCAAAGAUUGAAAGAAUAGAAACCUAGGCAGCAUUACCACCUCCCCGAGCCUCCAGCCGGAGCUACUUCGCGAGACGUGCACAGACAGACGGAGAGGUGCAAAGUGGAGUUGCUCGCUGCUUGGGCUCCAGCAAGGUGUGCGCUGUGCAAGCCGGGGCGCUGGAGGUGCGUUUGCUGCGGCAGCAGCAGCCGGCCAGCUCCGCAGACCCGGGGCACGCUGCUUUGCCUGUUGCCGCCGCCGCUCCAGCGCCGAGCCGGAGCCAGGGAGCGAGGGGCGCAGCCUGAAGCUCUGCCGACUCCUGCCAGCGACCCCCCCUUCUUUAUGCCGUGAUCUCCGAGCCCGGCCAGGCACCGGGCGUGCGGGGCUGGGCGGGGCGGACGGCGGGCGCUCCCCGGCCCUCCUGCGCGCACCCCUCGUCGGGGGGCUUCCCCGCCGCCGGCCUCUGGGGCGAUUUGUCAAAACUUCCCCCUCCGCCUGCCCGCCUCCCCCUGCGUGCCGCCGCCGCCGCAUGCACAGCCGCAACACCCCCGAGCCCGCCCGCCGAGCCUGGAGCCGCUCACCGGAUCUGCGGGGCUGAAGCAACUCUGCCCACUCCCGCCCCGAGGCAGCCCACCCCCUCCUGGCACCCGCGGCGGCAGCAGGAGCUCAGCAUGCCGAGGAGGAAGCAGCAAGCGCCCCGGCGCGCAGCAGCCUAUGUUUCAGAUGAACUGAAGGCCGCAGCACUGGUGGAGGAAGACAUGGAACCUGAUGAAAAUGCAAUUGAUGGGGAACCUUCAGCAAAAUACGUGUGUCCGGAAAAAGACUACAGUAAGAACUGCCAGAGCUACCAAAACUCUCCAGCUGCUGAAUUUUCCAGCCAUGAAAUGGACAGUGAGUCACACAUCAGUGAGACAAGUGACCGAAUGGCAGAUUUUGAAAGCAGCUCUAUCAAAAAUGAGGAAGAGAGCAAGGAGGUUGCAAUACCACUUGAAGAUUCUGCUGUAUCUGAUAGCUUAGAACAAAUGAAAGCCGUAUAUAAUAACUUCCUUUCCAAUUCCUACUGGUCCAAUCUCAAUUUGAAUCUCCACCAGCCGACUUCAGAAAAAAACAAUGGUAGCAGCAGCAGUAGCAGCAGCAGCAGUAGCAGUUGUGGGAGUGGUAGCUUUGACUGGCAUCAGACUGCUAUGGCAAAGACACUGCAGCAAGUUUCUCAGAGCAGAAUUCUUCCUGAACCAAGUCUUUUUAGCACAGUUCAGUUGUACAGACAAAGCAGUAAGCUUUAUGGCUCUAUAUUUACUGGAGCCAGUAAAUUCCGUUGUAAAGACUGCAGUGCUGCCUAUGACACUUUAGUAGAAUUAACAGUGCACAUGAAUGAAACAGGACAUUAUCGAGAUGACAACCAUGAAACUGAUAACAAUAACCCUAAAAGAUGGUCCAAACCUCGUAAACGUUCUUUGCUUGAAAUGGAAGGGAAAGAAGAUGCCCAGAAAGUAUUAAAGUGUAUGUACUGUGGCCAUUCAUUUGAAUCUCUUCAGGACUUGAGUGUUCAUAUGAUCAAAACAAAACACUACCAAAAAGUGCCUCUGAAGGAACCUGUUACACCUGUAGCAGCAAAAAUUAUCCCAGCUACUAGAAAAAAAGCAUCACUGGAGCUUGAACUUCCAAGCUCUCCAGAUUCCACAGGUGGGACACCAAAAGCAACAAUCUCGGACACCAACGACGCGCUACAAAAGAAUGCAAAUCCUUACAUUACGCCAAAUAAUCGUUACGGUCACCAGAAUGGUGCCAGCUACGCUUGGCAUUUUGAGGCAAGGAAAUCUCAAAUUCUCAAAUGCAUGGAGUGUGGAAGUUCCCAUGAUACUUUGCAGGAACUCACUGCCCACAUGAUGGUGACAGGACAUUUUAUAAAAGUCACCAACUCUGCCAUGAAGAAAGGGAAGCCAAUUAUAGAAGCCCCAGUGACGCCAACAAUAACAGCUCUACUAGACGAAAAAGUACAGUCUGUGCCACUUGCAGCCACCACUUUUACAUCUCCCUCCAACACGCCUUCUAGUGUCUCCCCAAAAUUGAAUGUUGAAGUAAAAAAAGAAGUAGAUAAAGAGAGAGGGAUUGCUGAUGAUAAAAUGAAAGAGAAAGAGAAGUCAAAUGAAGAUGAGGAAAAGUAUGAUAUCUCCUCAAAAUAUCAUUAUUUGACUGAAAAUGACCUGGAAGAAAGUCCUAAAGGGGGGCUAGAUAUUUUAAAGUCUUUAGAAAACACAGUAACAUCAGCUAUAAACAAAGCCCAGAAUGGUACACCAAGCUGGGGUGGCUACCCCAGUAUUCAUGCUGCCUACCAGCUACCUAACAUGAUGAAGCUGUCGUUGGGUUCAUCGGGAAAAAGUACACCCUUAAAAUCUAUGUUUGGAAACAAUGAAAUAGUGUCACCGACUAAAAACCAGCCCCUACUGUCGCCACCAAGCAGUCAAACCUCCCCUGUGCCAAAAACGAACUUUCAUGCCAUGGAAGAACUGGUAAAGAAAGUCACUGAGAAAGUGAUUAAAGUUGAGGAAAAAAUGAAAGAACCUGAAGGAAAGCUGUCUCCAGUGAAACGUGCGACACCUUCGCCAUGCAGCAGCGAAAUCAGUGAACCCCUCAAAAUGGAUGCUUCUAACGAUGGUGGUUUUAAAAGCCAACAGAACAGCCCAGUUCCUCAGAGGGAUAGUUGCAAGGAUAGUCCAACUAUAGAACCAGUGGAAAAUGGUAAAGAGCCUGUAAAGUCAAUUGCAAGUACAUUAAGCAGCAGCACAGCUAUUAUUACAGAUCAUCCUCCUGAACAACCAUUUGUAAAUCCAUUAAGUGCACUGCAGUCUGUCAUGAAUAUUCAUCUUGGGAAAGCAGCAAAGCCAUCUUUGCCUGCUCUGGAUCCAAUGAGCAUGCUUUUUAAAAUGAGCAACAGUUUGGCAGAAAAGGCUGCGGUGGCCACCCCACCUUUGCAGUGCAAAAAACCAGACCACUUAGACCGUUAUUUUUAUCAUGUCAACAAUGACCAACCCAUAGAUUUGACGAAAGGCAAGAGUGACAAAAGCUGCUCUUUGGGUUCAGCGCUUUUGUCAUCCACAUCAACAUCUUCUGCAUCUUCUUCAUCUACAGUGACAACAGCAAAGACAUCUGCAGUCGUGUCAUUCAUGUCAAACUCGCCGCUACGCGAGAAUGCCUUGUCAGAUAUAUCUGAUAUGCUGAAGAACCUGACAGAAAGUCACACAUCAAAAUCUUCCACACCUUCCAGCAUAUCUGAGAAAUCUGACAUUGAUGGUACCACAAUAGAGGAACCAGAAGAGACUACACCAGCUCAGAAAAGGAAGGGACGUCAGUCUAACUGGAACCCUCAGCACUUGCUCAUUCUGCAGGCCCAGUUUGCAGCCAGUUUACGACAGACAUCAGAGGGAAAAUACAUUAUGUCAGACUUGAGCCCUCAAGAAAGAAUGCACAUUUCAAGGUUUACGGGACUCUCAAUGACCACAAUUAGCCACUGGCUAGCCAAUGUGAAAUACCAGCUCCGAAGGACGGGAGGAACUAAGUUCCUUAAAAAUUUGGACACUGGGCAUCCAGUGUUCUUUUGUAAUGACUGUGCUUCACAGAUCAGAACUCCUUCAACUUAUAUCAGUCACCUCGAAUCACAUCUAGGUUUCAGGUUAAGAGACCUGUCCAAACUGUCCAAUGAACAGAUUAACAAUCAGAUAGCACAAACAAAGUCACCAUCUGAAAAACUGGUGACAUCAUCUCCAGAGGAAGAAAUUGGAACUUCCUAUCAGUGUAAACUUUGUAACAGGACUUUUGCAAGCAAGCAUGCUGUUAAACUUCAUCUUAGUAAAACACAUGGGAAGUCACCAGAGGAUCAUCUUCUGUAUGUUUCGGAGUUAGAGAAGCAGUAGCAUUUGCUUUUGAUUAAAAUAACUGUAAUUUGCUUUGAGGAAAACUGUCAAAGACGCCUUAAAGCUACUGUUUAGUUCUUGGCACAUGUUCUUAUUUUAACUCCAGAGAGUCACUCUGGGCUGAACUGUUUUGUAUAAUUGUACAGUGUUUAAUAGAGGUGCAUAAUCAGCUGUUGUUACUGGUAAAAUAUGAAGGUUAAAAUGCAGUGGUAAGUGUUUGGAACUUUGUGUAAAUUGGAUUUAGUUGCUGUGCAUCCCUCUGAUGCAUCAAGCUGCAUGCAUUAACAGACAGUUUAAUUAAGCAUUUAUAACUAAUCCUGGUGCACUUUUUUCACGUGACCUAAGUGUGCUGGUAUUUCUCACCCUAUAAUCUUUAGCCCUCUGAGUACUUUGAAACACUUUUUCUUUAAUUUGGUAAAAUGUAUGGAUAUGUUUUUAAAACCCUUACCAGCUUAGUUCUAAUUACUAAUAUGAACCUCCAUUUAUGCAGAGGUGUAUCACACCUUGAAAUUUAAAAUAUUAUUUUCACAUUGAAACAUAGAUGUAUAUAUUGUAUAGAUUUCAAAAUCUCUUAUGGAAAUGUAAUUGUGGUUAAUGCCAUGUUUUUCUUCAGCAUUUUUAGCAAUGACGGUUUUUGUACCUGAUAUGCCUCAGGUAUAAGCUAUACCUAUAUAUAGUGUAUAUUUCUUUUUUUAGGUCUAAGGGUUUUUCUUUUAACAUCCAAACAUUGUAAAUUAUAUGAAAGGUACCACACAUAGCAUUUAUAAAGUAUUCAAAAACAUUAUUCUUAAAGCAAAGUAUGAUUGUUUUGUUUUGCUAUACAGUACAUCUAUAUUGAUAGAGGUUCAUGUUUAAAUUAUACAUAUUUAUUAGUAUCGUUAUCAUUUGUUUUUAAACCAUCUGAAUAACAGAAGCCACGGACUGCAUCCUUGGCAUGCAUUAGAACUAUUUUGCACAACAUGACUUUUAAAGGUAUUUAUUAGUAAAAGAAAAUUUAAAUAAAAUAAAAAAUGAGAGAAUUCAAAAUAAACUCAGUGCUCAAAGGGUUAAAUCUAUUUGAAAAACUUGUACUGUAUUUCCUAAACAUUGAUAAAGCCUUUAAAAUGUUUGUACUGUAAUAUUUUGCUUAAAAGUUAUGAGGCAUUCUGUGAUAUAACCUUUUACUUAUUUAUAAGCGCUAUUGGUUGUUAUUUCAUAUUGUAGAAUGCCUUUUUAUUUCAAUUGGUAACUUUCUGUUUUGUUCUGCCUAAUUAUUCUCCCAAGAUUCCAUACUGCAGCUUUAUCUUUAGGCAUAUGAAAGGUAACCCGUGGUUACCAGCACACUAAGUGAUUCUGUUCGUCUCCAUUUUUGGCAGUUAAUUUGCAGAAGUAACUGACAGCUGACACCAUAUGAGAAUCUAUGUAUAAAAUAUUGGCAUGUAAACAGCACAGACACUGUAAUGCACUCUGUGCCCUGUUUUGUUGUUGACAAUGAAGCACCAUUAUAUGACUCUUCAUAUAACCUUUUUUUCUACAGCAGCAUUAAAAUUGUCUUUUUGCUAUAA